rnacentral:rRNA from 1 species
UACAGAGGGGGCAAGCGUUGUUCGGAAUUACUGGGCGUAAAGGGCGCGUAGGCGGCCUGCUAAGUCGAACGUGAAAUCCCUGGGCUCAACCCAGGAACUGCGUCCGAUACUGGUUGGCUUGAAUCCGGGAGAGGGAUGUGGAAUUCCAGGUGUAGCGGUGAAAUGCGUAGAUAUCUGGAGGAACACCGGUGGCGAAGGCGACAUCCUGGACCGGUAUUGACGCUGAGGCGCGAAAGCCAGGGGAGCAAACCGG